CAUGGAGACCGGCAGGUGAGCCGCACAGGCGCGCGUGGUCCCUGCCCCACCCGCGCUGAGCGAAGAGGAUGCGGUUGUCAAGGCGACAUGGAUAGGAGGAGGAGAGGACCGAGGGAGGAAGAAGGAUGGGCUGCCUUGGCGUAGCCGCAGGGAGGUGACUGAAGCGAGUCCAGCCCCUUGCAUCCUCCCCCUGUGUACCUCCCUCCUCUUUUUUUUUUUUUUUUUUUUUUUCCUCCUCUGCCAGCAUAAGCAGCCACCGCAGCACCUGAGCCGCUACUGCCGCUGGCUCAGGACAGCGCUAUGGCAGAGCCUGGUCACAACCCCCAUCCUUCUGCCAGAGACGGAGGAAAAACUGAAAGGCGCACACCCCGGCUUCUGUGGCUGUUGCUUUGGGCUGGGACCACCUUCCAGGUGACCCUGGGAACCGGACCCGAGCUUCACGCCUGCAAAGAGUCAGAGUACCAUUUUGAGUACACAGCGUGCGACAGCACAGGUUCCAGGUGGAGGGUCGCCGUGCCACACAGCCCGGGCUUGUGCACCAGCCUCCCAGACCCCGUCAAGGGCACCGAGUGCUCCUUCUCUUGCAAUGCCGGGGAAUUUCUGGAUAUGAAGGACCAGUCCUGCAAGCCCUGCGCGGAGGGCCGCUACUCCCUCGGCACUGGCAUCCGAUUUGAUGAGUGGGAUGAGCUACCUCACGGCUUUGCCAGCCUCUCGGCCAACUUGGAGGUCGAUGACAGCAUCUCGGAGUCCACUGAGAACUGCACUUCGUCCAAGUGGGUUCCCCGGGGAGACUACAUCGCCUCCAACACAGAUGAAUGCACCGCCACACUGAUGUAUGCCGUCAACCUAAAGCAGUCUGGCACCGUUAACUUUGAGUACUACUACCCGGACUCCAGCAUCAUCUUUGAAUUUUUUGUCCAGAAUGACCAGUGCCAGCCCAGUGCUGAUGACUCCAGGUGGAUGAAGACUACGGAGAAAGGAUGGGAAUUCCACAGUGUUGAGCUAAAUAGAGGCAAUAACGUCCUCUAUUGGAGAACCACAGCUUUCUCGGUGUGGUCCAAAGUGUCCAAGCCCGUGCUUGUUAGAAACAUCGCCAUAACAGGGGUGGCUUACACCUCCGAGUGUUUCCCCUGCAAGCCUGGCACAUACGCUGCCAAGCAGGGCUCCCCUUUCUGCAAGCUUUGUCCAGCCAACUACUACUCAAACAAAGGAGAAACGUCCUGCCAUCCGUGUGAUGCUGACAAAUACUCAGAAAAAGGAUCUUCCACCUGCAAAGUGCGCCCAGCCUGCACAGACAAGGACUAUUUCUACACCCACACAGCCUGUGAUGCUCAGGGAGAGACACAGCUCAUGUACAAAUGGGCCAUACCAAAAAUCUGCGGUGAGGACCUGGAGGGGGCGGUGAAGCUGCCCGCCUCUGGUGUGAAGACCCGCUGCCCACCCUGUAACCCGGGCUUCUUCAAAACCGACAACAGCACCUGUGAACCUUGCCCAUACGGCUCGUACUCCAACGGCUCGGAUUGUACCCACUGCCCAGCAGGAACUGAGCCUGCCGUGGGAUUUGAGUACAAAUGGUGGAACACACUGCCCUCCAACAUGGAAACUACGGUUCUCAGUGGGAUCAACUUUGAAUACAAGGGCCUGACAGGCUGGGAGGUGGCUGGUGACCACAUUUAUACAGCUGUUGGUGCCUCAGACAACGACUUCAUGAUUCUCACUCUGGUUGUACCAGGAUUUAGACCUCCACAGUCAGUGGUGGCAGACACAGAGAACAAAGAGGUGGCCAGGAUCACAUUUGUCUUCGAGACCAUCUGCUCUGUGAACUGUGAGCUCUACUUCAUGGUGGGCAUGAAUUCCAGGACCAAUACUCCUGUGGAGACGUGGAAGGGCACCAAAGGCAAGCAGUCCUAUACCUACACCAUCGAAGAGAAUGCUACUGUGAGCUUCACAUGGGCCUUCCAGAGGACCACCCUUCAUGAAACAGGCAGGAAGUAUACUAAUGAUGUCGCCAAGAUCUACUCAAUCAAUGUCACCAACGUCAUGGGGGGCGUGGCCUCCUACUGCCGUCCCUGUGCCCUAGAAGCCUCUGAUUUGGGCUCCUCCUGCACCUCUUGUCCUGCUGGCCAUUACAUCAACCGGGAUUCUGGGACCUGCCACCUCUGUCCCUCUAACACCAUCCUGAAAGCUCACCAGCCUUACGGUGCACAGGCCUGUGUGCCCUGUGGUCCAGGGACCAAGAAUAACAAGAUCCACUCUCUCUGCUACAACGACUGCACCUUCUCCCGAAACACCCCCAGCAGGAUUUUCAACUACAACUUCUCAGCUCUGGCAGGCACCGUCUCUCUGGCAGGGGUGCCGAGCUUCACCUCGAAGGGGCUGAAGUAUUUUCAUCAUUUCACCCUGAGUCUCUGUGGAAACCAGGGGAAAAAAAUGGCUGUGUGCACAGACAAUGUCACUGACCUCCGGAUCCCUGAUGGUGAGGCCGGCUUCUCUAAGUCCGUCACAGCCUAUGUCUGCCAGGUUGUCAUCAUCCCCUCUGAGGUGAUGGGCUACAAGGCCGGGGUGUCCUCACAGCCCGUCAGCCUUGCUGACCGACUUGUUGGAGUGUCAACAGACAUGACCUUGGAAGGAAUCGUCUCCCCAGUUGAACUUUUUCACCCAGAGACCUCGGGAAUUCCGGACAUAGUCUUCUUUUUUAGAUCCAAUGAUGUGACCCAGUCCUGCAGUUCUGGAAGAUCAACCACCAUCCGCCUCAGAUGCAAUCCAAUGAAAGCUGCUCCUGGCACCCUGCGGCUACCCAGCAUGUGCUCUGAUGGGACCUGUGAUGGCUGUAACUUCCACUUCCUGUGGGAGAGUGUGGCCGCUUGUCCACUCUGCUCGGCCUCUGACUACCACACUUUUGUCAGCAGCUGUGUGGCUGGGAUCCAGAAGACUACUUACAUGUGGCGAGAACCAAAGCUGUGCUCUGGGGGCAUUUCCCUGCCUGAGCAGAGAGUUACCAUCUGCAAAACGAUCGAUUUCUGGUUAAAAGUGGGCAUCUCGGCUGGCACCUGCACUGCCAUCCUGCUUACUGUCCUGACCUGCUACUUUUGGAAGAAGAAUCAAAAAAACAAGCAGCCUUGAAGAAAAAAGAUCACUAACCUGGGAAGCAAGAUCCCUUCUGUUCACCUGCCCUCCACGCCCUUUCACAAGGCUUUGCCCUUCCUAUGACAGACUCAAUCUAUUUGUAGCCCAACCUUUUCCCCUCGCUCCCACACUCUCAUCUCCUGCCUCCUCCCCUCCCCUGUUUCACAGAUUAGAAUACAAAUACUCCAAGUUGGUAAUGAACGCUACUCUUAAAGACUGCGACCUGCCGGCAGCAGACAGCUGUGCCAUCAUGGAAGGAGAGGACGUGGAGGAUGACUUCAUCUUUACCAGCAAGAAGUCCCUCUUUGGGAAGAUCAAAUCCUUUACCUCCAAGAGGACUCCUGAUGGAUUUGACUCGGUGCCGCUGAAGACGUCUUCAGGAGGCCCAGACAUGGACAUGUGAGAGGUGCCCGUCCUGCCUCGCCUGCCUCCUCACCUGGGCACACUACCCUGCAGGCCUGUGGCAGUUUAGGUGCCAGCAACCCUGCGCUCCCCGCUGCUGGGAAUCUCUUCAUUGUGGCCUUAUCAGAAGUUUGGAUUUCAGACCCUUGUUUUUUAUAGAGUACCCAAACCUGUCUCUACGCUUGCCUCAAGCCUACCAAAUAUACCCACACUUCGUGUACUGUUUCCUUGCUUACAUCUUGUUUUCUAAACACAGUCCACCCAUGGGAGACUCAUCUACCCAGAAUUCUUAGCGGUUUUCAGUAAAAGUAGUUUGUUUUUUGUUUUUUUUUAAAUAAGUACGAAAUUGGCUUCUAGCCUCCUGUGUGAGGGCGGGGGCAGCUGGGAGGUUUUCUGGUCAGAUACAGGCUUUCAGCUCAUGAUGUCUUUAGAAGGGGGCUGUGGUCUGAGGGACAGUCCUCAUGGCAGCCUCGACUUAUUUCUCCUGGGUAAUAAGUUGGAGCAGAGAGCAGUGGACAGUCUGAAGGCAUGGUGGGUGAAGCCUGUGUAAGAAAACACACACACACACACACACACAAAACUCAAAAAAAGGCAAAGUGUCUGUGUGUGUGUGGGGGGGGGGGGGUGUUUGUUUUGUUUUAUAACCAGGAACCUCAUUUCCUUCUCUUUUAAUGAUAAAUAUUCUCAUUAAAGGCAAAGGAAGUUAUUUACCAAGAACUUGCCCAAAGUCCAAUAGAUCUAUCCUCCACGACUGUUUUUGUCAAAUAUCCCUCCCAUUUCCUUAUGACACUAGAAAGAACCAGGUAAGUCUAGCUAUACCUUCCAUUGGCUUUGCUGGAAGGGAAUAAACGCUUGCCAGUGAGAAACACCCCCAUCUGUGAGGACCUCAGUCCUAGAGGCCUAGAGUAUCAUGGGAUGGAGCAUCUUAUUUAGAAAGAACACAGGGGGCCAAAGGUUUGAUGGGGCAGUAUUAGACUCCAGCCCACUGUGGCAUGGACCAGCUAUGGUCAUAUCUGUUUCUGUCUUUAACUUGCUAGGCCAACAAAGUUAAAAACUUGCAGACUGACCAGAAAGGAGCUGAACGUCAGGCAGGUACAAACCAAUCUUCAGGGAGAAAAAGUAGGGAUGUCUUACAAGGCCUACACCCAACUGGGGCAUUUGUCACUCCUAAGCCUCUGUCCUGGCUCUGGCCUAUUCUCAUUUCACUUGUGCAUAAAUAUCUAAAAGACUCCUGGCCCUCAUUCUGGCAACACCCCUCUGAAAAGUAGAUUAGGUACCAACUCGCAAGUAGAGUGGGAUUCCUCUUCCCAUCUCCCUUUCACUCCAGCUAUAAUCAGUAGAAAACCUAGAAUAGAAUAAUACAGAGAAUAAUUUCCAGUUAACUUUCCUCCCUACUACUGGGAAUUGAACCUCUUUCAUUCCAUACCGGAAUAGCCAUCUCUUGGUCAAGCCUGAGUUGCCCAUGGUCUUCACCUGUGCCUUUCCCCCAGUGACAGGUGGUUGGUAUAAGACAGAGAGGCAUUUCUGAGGUGUUUGUCAGCCACAAAAUGGCUUGCCCAUCUGACUAGCCAUGGCUGCUCUCAUGAUGGCUUCUAAGAAUCAGAAAGAAGUGAAGCUACGCCAUGACUUUUGGCCAUCAAAGGCAUCAGUGAUAGCUAGACAAACCUAGAAGCUUUUCUUUGGGAGUUCAAGUUGUCCCUCAUUUUGUGGCUCUCAGCACUUUGAUCAUACGGGAAUAUUCUUGAGUGGCUAUGUACACCCAGGCCAUGAGCUCACAGCCAGUCUCCUGCAGCCUCUUAGAUGUCUGCUUCCCAUGGAAUAACUGCUUUCUGUGUUGAAGAUCACAGGAGAUAUUUAGACUGUUCUGGAAGACAUGGGGGAAAGUCUAUCUCUUUGGACUUCUUUAUUCAGACAUCCUGGAAUUGAAUGUCCUUCCUCCCAAGCAUCCUCAAACAGCACUGAUUCAAUGAUAGCACUUUUUGCACCUCUACCUUACUCUUUCCUGGGAUGGUUUCCAAAGGAAGAGGCUCACCUGUUGCUUCUCUGGCAGCUCAACAAGUUCAGAUAAUUUCAGGGGCUCUACUAACACAUAAUUCACAUACUGCAUAAGUCACCCUUUCAAAGCAUACAACUUUGUGACUUUAGGUAUAUCAAUUUUAGUUUUCUGGGCUGAAGAUGAAACCCAGGGUGUCUCACAUGUUAAGCAAAGUGUUCUACCACUGAGCUACAUCAUUGACCAUGAACAUACAGUUGAGAACACAUACACUAGGUCUGCAAGGGAGAACGGCUUUAGUCUUUGAGCCAGGACUGUGGUAGUCUGCGCAAACUUUAGGGCCAGAGAGUUGGCUCAGGAGAUAAUGUCUAAUCUCUAUUUGGAUAUAUAGAGUCCUAGAAUACAUAAUUUCAUCCUGUAGUUAGUCAUCACCUGUAUUUGGCUGGGAAUACAUAUGAAGAUUAUGGUAUAUCCAAGGCCCAGGGGAUUUCUUAUGCCAUCAAAACUUUUUUUUUUUUUGGUCCAACUAUAUUAAAGACUGACUAUAUUUAUAUAACAGAAGCUUUGUAAAAGAUUUUUUGGCUUUGUGAAAUCAUAUCUGUGUCUCAUCAAGACAUGUUGGAUUCCCUUUUUAUUCUGUAUUUCAAGCAUUUAGUUUAUUAGGGAUGGGUAUGCAUGUCUCCCCCUCCCCCAAAAUAAAAACAUAUCUUUUGA